AAUGCAUGUAGACUGGAGAGUCAUUUGGAGGAUAAUUUCAAACCCAGUUUUUUGUUUUUUCACAGGAUCGUUAAAUCCUCUGUUUAUCCUGCCAUGGUUUACUUCGGUUCUGUUCAGCAAUAUGUGUCCAGUGGGCCAAAUUCUGCUCUCAGUUACCUGUACAAAUCAUCUGAAGUCGAUAGCAUCCACAACACCUGAAGAACAAAGGAACAGCUUUGGAUGGGAGAACGAUCUUGACUGAAAGGAAUUCAGAUGAAAUGUGGUCAGCUGGACAAUUAUCUGACAAACCACCAAAACUGUCUGCCAGAUGGUGGCCAAUGAUUAAUUCAUCUUAACUUCAGCCAAAAAGGAAGAAAAUGUGAUGGGUGGAGCAGUAAAGACAAGCACAAUCAACAUCCGACCAAAUAGGGUUUCCUGUCACCUUGGGAACUAAAUUGAUUGGCACUGCAGUUUCCUGUGUACAAGCUAAAACCAGUAGCAACUAGAGUAACAAGAAUAAACGCAAGAUAAGAGAUCUGGCA